UCCGAGUUAGAAAAGAUUACUGACUUCAAGACUGAGAACUUUAUUCAGACGACUCAUUCAGGCAGAUUGUUCCGUGGAACCAUUACUAAAGGAUCUGAAAAACGACCAGUGAUUGUAAAAACAUGGGAUUUUCUCCUUCUUAGGGACCAUCUAUGUUCUAUUCGUCCAUUGAAAUUUUGUGAUGAGAUUGAGUUAUAUGAAACAGCAAGUGCACAUCCAUAUUUGAUAAAGUUGUCUACGUACUGUUGUGAGAGGAGGCUUGCAGCUGUCUAUGAUGAAGAAUUUAUCGCAGAUUUGUCUGAUGUGCUUCUGGAUGAUGCAUUUGGAUGGGAUUAUCGGAUAAGAGUGGCAACUCAACUUGCAGACCUCUUGGCAUGGCUGCAUGAAAGGAGGAUUGCAGUUGGCAGUAUUACUGCUUCAUGCAUUAUCAUAAAUGCGGCUGAGUUUGAGCCCUUGGUCGUCUUCUCGACUUUCUGUUUCUUUAAGAUAUCUGAAGAUUCUUCACGAGUUACUACAUUGUUUUGGCUUGCAGGAAAUGAAUAUUAAAGUGUUUGAUUUCGGUGCCGUUUACUAUCAUGUCAACGAGGAUUCUGAAAUUCCUCUUCUGUAUCCUGUUGGUAGGGAUGCUCCAGAGGUUUUUGAU